rnacentral:rRNA from 1 species
UACGUAGGGGGCUAGCGUUGUCCGGAAUCAUUGGGCGUAAAGCGCGUGUAGGCGGUCCGGUAAGUCCGCUGUGAAAGUCGGGGGGCUCAACCCUCGGAUGCCGGUGGAUACUGUCGGGCUUGAGUACGGAAGAGGCGAGUGGAAUUCCUGGUGUAGCGGUGAAAUGCGCAGAUAUCAGGAGGAACACCGGUGGCGAAGGCGGGACGUCUGGGCCGAUACUGACGCUGAGGAGCGAAAGCGUGGGGAGCAAACAGG